ACUUUCAGCAACGGAUCUCUUGGCUCUGGCAUCGAUGAAGAACGCAGCGAAAUGCGAUAAGUAAUGUGAAUUGCAGAAUUCAGUGAAUCAUCGAAUCUUUGAACGCACAUUGCGCCCGCCAGCACUCUGGCGGGCAUGCCUGUUCGAGCGUCAUUU
rnacentral:rRNA from 1 species